rnacentral:rRNA from 1 species
GAUGAACGCUGGCGGCGUGCCUAAUACAUGCAAGUCGAGCGAACGGACGAGAAGCUUGCUUCUCUGAUGUUAGCGGCGGACGGGUGAGUAACACGUGGAUAACCUACCUAUAAGACUGGGAUAACUUCGGGAAACCGGGGCUAAUACCGGAUGAUAUUUUGAACCGCAUGGUUCAAAAGUGAAAGACGGUCUUGCUGUCACUUAUAGAUGGAUCCGCGCUGCAUUAGCUAGUUGGUAAGGUAACGGCUUACCAAGGCAACGAUGCAUAGCCGACCUGAGAGGGUGAUCGGCCACACUGGAACUGAGACACGGUCCAGACUCCUACGGGAGGCAGCAGUAGGGAAUCUUCCGCAAUGGGCGAAAGCCUGACGGAGCAACGCCGCGUGAGUGAUGAAGGUCUUCGGAUCGUAAAACUCUGUUAUUAGGGAAGAACAUAUGUGUAAGUAACUGUGCACAUCUUGACGGUACCUAAUCAGAAAGCCACGGCUAACUACGUGCCAGCAGCCGCGGUAAUACGUAGGUGGCAAGCGUUAUCCGGAAUUAUUGGGCGUAAAGCGCGCGUAGGCGGUUUUUUAAGUCUGAUGUGAAAGCCCACGGCUCAACCGUGGAGGGUCAUUGGAAACUGGAAAACUUGAGUGCAGAAGAGGAAAGUGGAAUUCCAUGUGUAGCGGUGAAAUGCGCAGAGAUAUGGAGGAACACCAGUGGCGAAGGCGACUUUCUGGUCUGUAACUGACGCUGAUGUGCGAAAGCGUGGGGAUCAAACAGGAUUAGAUACCCUGGUAGUCCACGCCGUAAACGAUGAGUGCUAAGUGUUAGGGGGUUUCCGCCCCUUAGUGCUGCAGCUAACGCAUUAAGCACUCCGCCUGGGGAGUACGACCGCAAGGUUGAAACUCAAAGGAAUUGACGGGGACCCGCACAAGCGGUGGAGCAUGUGGUUUAAUUCGAAGCAACGCGAAGAACCUUACCAAAUCUUGACAUCCUUUGACAACUCUAGAGAUAGAGCCUUCCCCUUCGGGGGACAAAGUGACAGGUGGUGCAUGGUUGUCGUCAGCUCGUGUCGUGAGAUGUUGGGUUAAGUCCCGCAACGAGCGCAACCCUUAAGCUUAGUUGCCAUCAUUAAGUUGGGCACUCUAAGUUGACUGCCGGUGACAAACCGGAGGAAGGUGGGGAUGACGUCAAAUCAUCAUGCCCCUUAUGAUUUGGGCUACACACGUGCUACAAUGGACAAUACAAAGGGCAGCGAAACCGCGAGGUCAAGCAAAUCCCAUAAAGUUGUUCUCAGUUCGGAUUGUAGUCUGCAACUCGACUACAUGAAGCUGGAAUCGCUAGUAAUCGUAGAUCAGCAUGCUACGGUGAAUACGUUCCCGGGUCU